UACGUAGGUGACCAGCGUUGUCCGGAUUUACUGGGCGUAAAGAGCGCGCAGGCGGUCGUUCAAGUCGAGUGUGAAAGCCCCCGGCUCAACUGGGGAGGGUCAUUCGAUACUGAUCGACUUGAAGGCAGGAGAGGGAAGCGGAAUUCCCGGUGUAGUGGUGAAAUGCGUAGAUAUCAGGAGGAAUACCGGUGGCGAAAGCGACUCUCUGGACGGCAACUGACGCUGAGGCACGAAAGCGUGGGGAGCAAACAGG
rnacentral:rRNA from 1 species